rnacentral:rRNA from 1 species
AAAGGGGAGAKUCACCGUCAGCGACGUCGGCUUUUCGACGGUCCGUCWCGGCAWCUCGCUCGGGUGUCCCGKUGCGUCGUCGYGCGUCGUCCGUUGUGCGCGCGCGUUCCGCGCGCGCGAUCUAUGUCCGGCGGCGUCGGCGUGCACUUCUGCCCCAGUAGGACGUCGCGACCCGUUGGGUGUCGGUCUACGGCCCGGAUCGUCGCCUGUCCCGCCGCUUCGCGGUGUCGCGGGGCAGACAUCCGCUGCACCUACCCGACCGGCUGCCCGGCGGUAUAAAAUCGACGGUACUCUGGCCGCAACUAACAAGUGCGUCCUUCGAUAMAGGCUCGCCGCAAGCGCGGUCAGUGCAUUUCCGGUGGCUUUCUCGGACGAACUGUGCCGUCCCCGGGCCUGACCCGCUGUUCGCCGGCAAUGUCCUCGGACAGACCCUGCGCGCACCCGCAUAU